GCAAACAGAACAAAAAAGCGAUGUUGUCAGGUUUCCUGCUCAUCACGAAGCAGAAUUUGCCCUCUACGAGAGCCUUGUCGACUAGAAUCACUGGUCGCUGGAGGAAAACGUCGCAGAACAUCUUGUCUGGAGUGAAAUACUGAAUAUUUUUAUAUUCACGAGAAAAAUGUUCCCCACUGGAUUGAAAAUCGCAGGACGUGCUGCUGCAGUCAAUCAGCAGUUCAUCAGGAGCAUUACUCAUGGGGCUACUAAACCUCGCAAUCACUGUAGCUUUGGUGAACAAUGUGCGCACGGAAUCCUCAUAGCUACUGGUGUCCUGGCAACUCCAGCGUACAUCGCAUACAACUUGAAGUACUACACCGGGCGCGAGGAACGGAACUGAGGACAUUACACUAGCUUUCAAUCUCGUCUCUUUAUGUAAAUGAAACGGUCACCGAUCACGACCACUGAUAUUUCGACCGAGUCCACAGUGAAUAAAUCAAAUACAAAAAAUAGUUGAUAAAAGGUGAA